GCGGGCGUAGCUCAGGGGUAGAGCGCAACCUUGCCAAGGUUGAAGUCGGCGGUUCAAAUCCGCUCGCCCGCUCCA
rnacentral:tRNA from 1 species